rnacentral:rRNA from 1 species
GAUGAACGCUGGCGGCGUGCCUAACACAUGCAAGUCGAACGUACAGAUCAGGACUUGGCUCGGCUGACGGUAGCGGCGGAGGGGAGAGUAACGUGGGUGUAACCUACCUCUAAUACGGGGAUGACUGCGGGAAAGCGUAUCUUAUACCGGAGGAUAUAUUGAACCUCGUUGUUCAGGAGUGAAAUUCGGUUGUGGUAUGAGUUAUAGACGUAUCAGCUCCUCAUUAGCUAGUUGGUACGGUAACGGCUUAACAAGGCAACGAGGCGUAGCCGACCUGAGCGGGGGGUCGGAGACAGUGGAAGAGAGACACGGUCCAGACUCCUACGGGGAGACGCAGCAGAGACUCUUCCGCAAUGGGCGAGAGCAUGAUGGAGCAACGCGGCGUGAGUUAUGACGGUGUUCGGAUGGUAAAACUCUGUUAUUAGGGGAGAUAAAAUGCGUAAGUAACUGUGCACGUUUUGACGGUACCUGAAGAAAAAGCACCGGCUAACUACGUG